rnacentral:rRNA from 1 species
UACGGAGGGUGCGAGCGUUAAUCGGAAUUACUGGGCGUAAAGCGUGCGCAGGCGGCCGGCUAAGUUAGGUGUGAAAGCCCCGGGCUCAACCUGGGAACUGCACUUAAGACUGGCCGGCUGGAGUUUGGGAGAGGGGGGCGGAAUUCCGGGUGUAGCGGUGAAAUGCGUAGAUAUCCGGAGGAACACCAGUGGCGAAGGCGGCCCCCUGGCCCAAAACUGACGCUGAGGCACGAAAGCGUGGGUAGCAAACAGG